UACAGGGGGGGGCAAGCGUUUGUUCGGAAUUACUGGGCGUAAAGGGCCAGUAGGCGGCCAACUAAGUCCGACGUGAAAUCCCAAGGCUUAACCUUGGAACUGCGUCGGAUACUGAUUGGCUUGAAUUCGGGAGAGGGAUGCAGAAUUCCAGGUGUAGCGGUGAAAUGCGUAGAUAUCUGGAGGAAUACUGGUGGCGAAGGCGGCAUCCUGGACCGACAUUGACGCUGAACGGCGAAAGCUAAGGGGAGCGAAACGGGG
rnacentral:rRNA from 1 species